UGUGUGUGGUGUGUGUGUGGAGCUGCUCUGCCCAGGGCUGUCGAGUCGGGGAUAGGCGGAAUAGCAAUAGGAGCAUACGGUUAGCGUGCCGAUACAGACCGUCCGGAAUUGUUUGGCUCUCACUCGGCGUCUGGGUGACUUGUUUGAUAACUCGGUGUGAUUUUUUCCAGAUGCGGACUGGCUAGAUGCCCACUGAAGAGCGGCAGAGGAGGAGAGCAGAGUGCCGUAAGAAGGUGGCGGUCAGGCCUCGGCACGGCAGGCCGAAGAAUCCGACUCCGAGCGGCCGAGGAAAAGGGACGGGCGAGAGGAAGGCGUUUCCAAGGAGGGCUUCGUCGCAGCGGAGGUCGACGCCAGGUGGCACGUCGGCGACCGGCGACGCUCUGUCUCGUGAGGGAUGAAGCGGAACCUGGCGGAUGGGGGAGCGUCCCGGUUAGAUGACCUUUUCCCCAUGAGAAGGGAAUCUGGAUUCUGCCCUCUGAAAGGUCUCUAGGUUCCGCCGCACGCGCUCGGCGAGCAUCCGCGGGGUCCGCGACGCCUCGUCGCUUCGGAAUACGGCCCGUCGAGCGUUUCUCGUCUCGCGAUCGGAGCUUAAAGCGAGCCUCGCAUCGCAGACGUUUCUGCGAGGUGGCCUUUGUGGAGGCGGUCCGUGCCGGACUCACAGUCGUGCUCUAGAAACUUCCGCCUCAAUUGAAGUUUGAUACCAUCUUUCAUCCCUGUAUGCUGUGGGAUGCCGGACUCGUCCAGUCUUGGUGCCGAAUACAGGGCCAUUUUGACCCAGCAGAAGGGGCCUGGGGGAGUCCAGCUUGGGCGAGAGCAGGGAUUGAGCAACUUGCUUAUCUUGCACUGAUAAGCACCGGACCUGAACAGGGGCAGGAGAUGAGCAAUUUGUUCAUCUUAACAAGA